GAUGAAGAACGCAGCGAAAUGCGAUAAGUAAUGUGAAUUGCAGAAUUCAGUGAAUCAUCGAAUCUUUGAACGCACAUUGCGCCCGCCAGUAUUCUGGCGGGCAUGCCUGUUCGAGCGUCAUUUCAACCAUCAAGCCCCCGGCUUGUGUUGGGGACCUGCGGCUGCCGCAGGCCCUGAAAAGCAGUGGCGGGCUCGCUGUCACACCGAGCGUAGUAGCAUACAUCUCGCUCUGGGCGUGCUGCGGGUUCCGGCCGUUAAACCACCUUCAUAACCCGAGGUUGACCUCGGAUCAGGUAGGAAGACCCGCUGAACUUAAGCAUAUCAAUAAGCGGAGGA
rnacentral:misc_RNA from 1 species